GCGGGCGUGGCGGAAUGGCAGACGCGCUGGACUUAGGAUCCAGUGGGUAAUACCCGUGCGAGUUCAACUCUCGCCGCCCGCA
rnacentral:tRNA from 1 species